rnacentral:rRNA from 1 species
AUUGAACGCUAGCGGGAUGCCUUACACAUGCAAGUCGAACGGAGUGGCGAACGGGUGCGUAAUGUAACGGAACGUGCCCCGUAGCGGGGGAUAACUACGCGAACGCGUAGCUAAUACCGCAUACUCUUGGAACGGCCGAUACCGGAUUAGCUAGUUGGUGGGGUAACGGCUCACCAAGGCGACGAUCCGUAGCUGGUUUGAGAGGACGACCAGCCACACGGGGACUGAGACACGGCCCAGACGCCUACGGGAGGCAGCAGUGGGGAAUUUUGGACAAGGGGGGAAAGCCUGAUCCAGCCAUCCCGCGUGUGUGAUGAAGGCCUUCGGGUUGUAAAGCACUUUUGGCAGGAAAGCGGUACCUGCAGAAUAAGCACCGGCUAACUACGUGCCAGCAGCCGCGGUAAUUC